CGGAGGAAGGUGGGGAUGACGUCAAAUCAUCAUGCCCCUUAUGACCUGGGCUACACACGUGCUACAAUGGGCGGUACAAAGGGUCGCGAACCCGCGAGGGGGAGCCAAUCCCAAAAAGCCGCUCUCAGUUCGGAUUGCAGGCUGCAACUCGCCUGCAUGAAGCCGGAAUCGCUAGUAAUCGCGGAUCAGCAUGCCGCGGUGAAUACGUUCCCGGGCCUU
rnacentral:rRNA from 1 species